rfam:Triticum urartu cultivar G1812 contig302817, whole genome shotgun sequence.
UAAAUACUUCUUUUGUCCGAAAAAAUUUGUUCCUCAAAUGAAUGUAUCUAGCACCAAGUUAGUGCUAAAUACAUUCAUUCGAGAAACAAACUUGAAACAAGUUUUUUCGGACGGAGGAAGUAGAAG